UACGGGGGGGGCAAGCGUUGUUCGGAAUUACUGGGCGUAAAGGGCUCGUAGGUGGCCAACUAAGUCAGACGUGAAAUCCCUCGGCUUAACCGGGGAACUGCGUCUGAUACUGGAUGGCUUGAGAUUGGGAGAGGGACGCGGAAUUCCAGGUGUAGCGGUGAAAUGCGCAGAUAUCGGGAAGAACACCCGUGGCGAAGGCGGCUCUCUGGGACGGUACUGACGCUGAGACGCGAAAGCGUGGGGAGCGAACAGG
rnacentral:rRNA from 1 species